UCUGGUUGAUCCUGCCAGUAGUUAUAUGCUUGUCUCAAAGAUUAAGCCAUGCAUGUCUAAGUACACACGAAUUAAAAGUGAAACCGCAAAAGGCUCAUUAUAUCAGUUAUGGUUCCUUAGAUCGUUAACAGUUACUUGGAUAACUGUGGUAAUUCUAGAGCUAAUACAUGCAAUUAAAACAUGAACCUUAUGGGACAUGUGCUUUUAUUAGGCUAAAACCAAGCGAUCGCAAGAUCGUUAUAUUGGUUGAACUCUAAAUAACAUGCAAAUCGUAUGGUCUUGUACCGACAACAGAUCUUUCAAAUGUCUGCCCUAUCAACUUUUGAUGGUAGUAUCUAGGACUACCAUGGUUGCAACGGGUAACGGGGAAUCAGGGUUCGAUUCCGGAGAGGGAGCCUGAAAAACGGCUACCACAUCUAAGGAAGGCAGCAGGCGCGUAAAUUACCCACUCCCAGCUCGGGGAGGUAGUGACGAAAAAUAACAAUACAGGACUCAUAUCCGAGGCCCUGUAAUUGGAAUGAGUACACUUUAAAUCCUUUAACAAGGACCAAUUGGAGGGCAAGUCUGGUGCCAGCAGCCGCGGUAAUUCCAGCUCCAAUAGCGUAUAUUAAAGUUGUUGCGGUUAAAACGUUCGUAGUUGAACUUGUGCUUCAUACGGGUAGUACAACUUACAAUUGUGGUUAGUACUAUACCUUUAUGUAUGUAAGCGUAUUACCGGUGGGAGUUUCUUAUAUGUGAUUAAAUACUUGUAUUUUUUUCAUAUGUUCCUCCUAUUUAAAACCUGCACUAGUGCUCUUAAACGAGUGUUAUUGUGGGCGGUACUAUUACUUUGAACAAUUAAAGUGCUUAAGCAGGCUUCAAUGCUGAAUAUUCUGUGCAUGGGAUAAUGAAUAAGACCUCUGUCUGCUUCUUGGUUUCAAUCAAAGUAUGAUAAAAA
rnacentral:rRNA from 1 species